rnacentral:lncRNA from 1 species
GGUGUUCUAACCAAUAAUCACCGAUGCGAUGUUCUGUCCGAUCGAUUCAGGAACCAUCUAACGAAUGCCGAAGUGCUGUGCUUUGUGAAUUUCGUUAACCGGAAUCCAAAGUACUAUACUUUGUGAGUUCAUUAAAUGGAUACCAAAGUACUGUCUGAAUAAGACUAUACUUUGUGAAAUUCGUUAAGGUUCGAAUCUCGUGACUACCGUUAAGGUUUGAUUUGGGUUUUACACAAAUACGUAUUCCAUUCUGUUAAACUAUAUGUUUAACUACCAAAAAUACUCCCAACUACACACUCACAAUCAAACAAACUAUUAAAUCAUCAGAAGAUCCAGAAUAAUAAAGUGCAUGCUUAAUUAUCGGAAGAAGUAGAAUCAAGAAGCUUGUUAACUCAAUCUUGCAUGCUUAUAAAGUAAUUACAGUAGAUCGGAAUAAG